UACGUAGGGUGCGAGCGUUGCCCGGAUUUAUUGGGCGUAAAGGGCGCGCAGGCGGCCACGCACGUCCGUUGUGAAAUCUCCCGGCUCAACUGGGAGGGGUCAGGCGAUACGGCGGGGCUCGAGGCAGGUAGGGGGAAGCGGAAUUCCCGGUGUAGUGGUGGAAUGCGUAGAUAUCGGGAGGAACACCAGUGGCGAAGGCGGCUUCCUGGACCUGAUCUGACGCUGAGGAGCGAAAGCGUGGGGAGCGAUCCGG
rnacentral:rRNA from 1 species